rnacentral:rRNA from 1 species
GCUGGGUUCAGAACGUCGUGAGACAGUUCGGUCGCUAUCCAUCGCGGGCGUAAGAAACUUGAAAGGGGCUGCUCCUAGUACGAGAGGACCGGAGUGGACCGACCAAUGGUGUACCAGUCAUGGCGCCAGCCGUGCAGCUGGGUAGCUACGUCGGGGACGGAUAAACGCUGAAAGCAUCUAAGCGUGAAACCAGCCUAGAGAUGAGGUUUCUCAUU